CAGUCAUAAUAGAAAUUAUGGUAAAACUAAUUACUUCACAAAUGUUUUCACGAUUAAAUAAAAGAUAAACAUUAUUUACAUUUUGAGAAAAAAGUCCUCAAAAAAUCUCCUUGCGGAAUCCUUAAAAAUCGAUCAUAAAGAUUUAGUAAAAAUCGAUAUUUAAAUGUGUCUCUUAAAUUACACCAUACUUUAAUUUUAUGCACGUUCGGUGACGUCACGUUUAUUAUAUUUUCGUUGAAAGAUCUGAAGUUACUUCAAAUACAGCAUUCCUAGUGCAAAGAGGAAGGGCUAAACAUAGUAUAAGAUGGUUAAUUGCAGAAGACAAUAUUUAGCGAGAGUCCAGCCUUUUAUAGUUUGGCGAACAUAAAUCAAUCCGUUGAUUGGAUGUGGCAAGAAUUUUCCAUAUUUCCAAGUUAGGAGAGGCUAAAUGGGUUCUGUUUGAAAAGAUCCAGCAUUUUUGAAAAGCAAUUAACAGAUGCGAAACAAUGUGUCUCUGUGAAAAGGGCAGGCUAAAGGUUUCAACAGCACCGGCCGAAAAAGUGGAGAUAUAAUUUCAGCAUUGAACAAGGACAGGGCAAUAUGUGUAUAUACAUAUGUGUAGCGUUGUCAGACUAUAUGGAUAGUCGGGCCUCGGUGACAAAAAUGAUGAAAUAACAUUGUUUUUUUUUCAGUGUCUUAACAUUCAGAAGAUUCAUUUCAUUUUAAAAUGUCUUUUUAUAAUAUUUUUUUUUACAAACUUUCCAUGGCAAAGUAAGUGCAAUUUAGCAUUGGUAAGAUAUUUACUUGAAGGAUUGAUUUUCAGAACAGAAAUUAAUGCGAAUACAAUGUAUAUAAAUAAUAAUUAUUCGUGUAAAAUGUAUUGCAAUUUUGAAUUAUAAUAUCAAUUAAGAUAGAUUCAUACAACUCUAUUCUUGGUAGAGCUAACUUGUAAGAAUAUUUAAUGGAAUCUGACUUAAAGUAAAAAAAAAUAGUUAUCAUUAGUGGGUGGGGUAAUGUUUUAUACCAGUCUAAAUGAUGAUGUAUAGAUUAUGCAGUGUUGCGACUUUUUGAAUGUAAUCAACAUUGGUUGAAGUGUUUUUGAUUAAAUAAAGCAUGUUUGUGUAUUAAUGUGUUACUUUGUUAAUGACCAUAUUUGCGUAGAAUAUCUGGGUUAUUUAAUUUCACAGAUUUUUCUAAUUGAAAACACAUGAUUUCAAAACAUGACAUUUUUAGCAUUUUAUACUUCGAAUUUUUUUGAGGACUUUUUUCCUGUAGCAACACAUAUAUAGUAGAUAACAAAUAUGCAAAUAUCUUUUCUGAAGGAAUUUGUUUGAGGUUGGGUCUUAUUUUUGGCUAAAAUGCCUAG